AUGUUUUCUUCGGACGGACGGACGGACGGACGGACAUCUUCCCUGCUAGAAGAGCUUUUUCCUGUUUGUUUUUAUCAGUUCACUUAUCCGUGUCACGACUUCGCGUGGUGGACAAACGAGUACGCACUGUGGACACAAACAAACGAGAACGCGAAAGAACAGAGACGCGAUACGGAUAAGUGAACUGAUAGAAACAAACAGGAAAAAGCGCUGCUAGCAGGGUAACAGACAUCACGUCACGAAAACUCGAGUCGAUAUGGUUUAUACGACUUUUUCUUAGGUGGCUCUUUUGCAAAGUUGCAAAGAGUUUUCCUGCAACGAUUCCAGGAAGAAUUCGCUGAAAAAGCGAGAGAAACUGGUUGACUCAAAAGCCCGCCACGGCAGUGAGAGCAAAGGCGAUUGAUGCCCUUCUUCAUCAGUCGAACGACUGAUUGCAACUCGUAUCUAGGAUGUCCACCCUUUACUCUAUCACGCAGUACCUCAAAUACAAGGUAGAACAUUAACUGUCGCGCCACAAUCUCUUAGUGUGACACAUGUAAUACAUACCAAGCGGAGCAAGGCAAAGAACCAAUGAUCUGCCACGAGAUACCAUCCCGACCAUGGGAAAAGCUUUAUCCAAGCAAAAGCCCAAAUGCGCAGAUGAGCUGUAUCGUGCUGAGGACUUCGUUACAUUUCGCUUAGCCGCAUUUUGUUCGAUGUGCCUGAGAUGCUAAUGCUGCCCUGAGUUCAAAUAUCCAUAUUACAUAGACACUUAUUUUCUUGUAUAGUGGAAAGCUGAGCAGGUGUACUCAUAGCCCGCUUGAACGGGCUUGCAUUACAGCUAUUGGCUGAAAAUGAAA